rnacentral:rRNA from 1 species
AACGAACGCUGGCGGCAUGCCUAACACAUGCAAGUCGAACGAGACCUUCGGGUCUAGUGGCGCACGGGUGCGUAACGCGUGGGAACCUGCCCUUAGGUUCGGAAUAACUCCCUGAAAGGGGUGCUAAUACCGGAUAAUGUCUUCGGACCAAAGAUUUAUCGCCUUUGGAUGGGCCCGCGUUGGAUUAGCUAGUUGGUAGGGUAAAAGCCUACCAAGGCGACGAUCCAUAGCUGGUCUGAGAGGAUGAUCAGCCACACUGGGACUGAGACACGGCCCAGACUCCUACGGGAGGCAGCAGUGGGGAAUAUUGGACAAUGGGCGAAAGCCUGAUCCAGCAAUGCCGCGUGAGUGAUGAAGGCCUUAGGGUUGUAAAGCUCUUUUACCCGGGAUGAUAAUGACAGUACCGGGAGAAUAAGCACCGGCUAACUCCGUG